UAGAUGCGCAUCUUCCUUCAUUUGAGCUAC
rnacentral:piRNA from 1 species